rnacentral:rRNA from 1 species
AUUGAACGCUGGCGGCAGGCUUAACACAUGCAAGUCGAGCGGAGUGAUUGUGCUUGCACCAUCACUUAGCGGCGAACGGGUGAGUAAUGCCUAGGAAUCUGCCCAUUAGCGGGGGACAACGUGUGGAAACGCCCGCUAAUACCGCCUACGCCCUACGGGGGAAAGCAGGGGACUCUUUUAGCCUUUCACUCAUGGAUGAGCCUAGGUCAGAUUAGCUAGUUGGUGGGGUAAAGGCCUACCAAGGCGACGAUCUGUAGCGGGUCUGAGAGGAUGAUCCGCCACACUGGAACUGAGACACGGUCCAGACUCCUACGGGAGGCAGCAGUGGGGAAUAUUGGACAAUGGGCGCAAGCCUGAUCCAGCCAUGCCGCGUGUGUGAAGAAGGCCUUUUGGUUGUAAAGCACUUUAAGCGAGGAGGAGGCUUACCUGGUUAAUACCUGGGAUAAGUGGACGUUACUCGCAGAAUAAGCACCGGCUAACUCUGUG